rnacentral:rRNA from 1 species
GACGAACGCUGGCGGCGUGCUUAACACAUGCAAGUCGAGCGGUAAGGCCCUUUCGGGGGUACACGAGCGGCGAACGGGUGAGUAACACGUGGGUGACCUGCCUUUAGCUCUGGGAUAAGCCUGGGAAACUGGGUCUAAUACCGGAUAUGACCCUAUGGCGCAUGUUGUGGGGUGGAAAGCCUUGUGCGGCUAGGGAUGGGCCCGCGGCCUAUCAGCUUGUUGGUGGGGUGAUGGCCUACCAAGGCGACGACGGGUAGCCGGCCUGAGAGGGCGACCGGCCACACUGGGACUGAGACACGGCCCAGACUCCUACGGGAGGCAGCAGUGGGGAAUCUUGCGCAAUGGGCGAAAGCCUGACGCAGCGACGCCGCGUGAGGGAUGACGGCCUCGG